GAGACAUACCUGGGUAGCGGACUUGGUGUGCUAUCGUCGUUUCAUGGACGAUAUAUUUUUUAUCUGGACGGGAACUAGGACAGAGUUAGAUGUUUUUAUCACCUUUUUAAAUAAAAAUUAUUGGAAUAUUGUUUUAACGGCGCAAAUAAGUGAGGAAAGUAUAAAUUUUUUAGAUCUCGAUAUCAAUAUCACAAAUACCUGCAUUACCACAAAGAAUCAUUUUAAAGAAGUGGAUGCAAAUGGAUACAUUCGGAGAGAGAGCUGUCAUUACACACCCUGGCUAAGAAAUGCACCUAGAGGACAAUUUUUAAGAAUUAGGCGCAAUUGUACCAAUGACGAAGACUACUUAUUACAGGCAGGAAGGAUAAAGACCCAAUUUCUACAAAAAGGAUAUGCAGAAAUAGAUUUACAGGCCUCUCCAGAAGAUGUUCGCACAAUACCUAGAAAGAACCUUUUAAUAUACAA